rnacentral:rRNA from 1 species
UGGGGAAUAUUGCACAAUGGGCGCAAGCCUGAUGCAGCCAUGCCGCGUGUAUGAAGAAGGCCUUCGGGUUGUAAAGUACUUUCAGCGGGGAGGAAGGCGAUAAGGUUAAUAACCUUGUCGAUUGACGUUACCCGCAGAAGAAGCACCGGCUAACUCCGUGCCAGCAGCCGCGGUAAUACGGAGGGUGCAAGCGUUAAUCGGAAUUACUGGGCGUAAAGCGCACGCAGGCGGUCUGUCAAGUCGGAUGUGAAAUCCCCGGGCUCAACCUGGGAACUGGAUUCGAAACUGGCAGGCUAGAGUCUUGUAGAGGGGGGUAGAAUUCCAGGUGUAGCGGUGAAAUGCGUAGAGAUCUGGAGGAAUACCGGUGGCGAAGGCGGCCCCCUGGACAAAGACUGACGCUCAGGUGCGAAAGCGUGGGGAGCAAACA